GACGAACGCUGGCGGCGUGCUUAACACAUGCAAGUCGAACGCUGAAGCUUGGUGCUUGCACUGGGUGGAUGAGUGGCGAACGGGUGAGUAAUACGUGAGUAACCUGCCCUUGACUCUGGGAUAAGCCUGGGAAACUGGGUCUAAUACUGGAUACGACAUGUCACCGCAUGGUGGUGUGUGGAAAGGGUUUUACUGGUUUUGGAUGGGCUCACGGCCUAUCAGCUUGUUGGUGGGGUAAUGGCUCACCAAGGCGACGACGGGUAGCCGGCCUGAGAGGGUGACCGGCCACUCUGGGACUGAGACACGGCCCAGACUCCUACGGGAGGCAGCAGUGGGGAAUAUUGCACAAUGGGCGAAAGCCUGAUGCAGCGACGCCGCGUGAGGGAUGACGGCCUUCGGGUUGUAAACCUCUUUCAGCACGGAAGAAGCGAAAGUGACGGUACGUGCAGAAGAAGCGCCGGCUAACUACGUG
rnacentral:rRNA from 1 species